rnacentral:rRNA from 1 species
UACGGAGGGUGCAAGCGUUAAUCGGAAUUACUGGGCGUAAAGCGUGCGCAGGCGGUUUGUUAAGUCUGUUGUGAAAUCCCCGAGCUCAACUUGGGAAUUGCAAUGGAUACUGGCAGGCUGGAGUAUGGUAGAGGAAGGUGGAAUUCCCGGUGUAGCAGUGAAAUGCGUAGAGAUCGGGAGGAACACCAGUGGCGAAGGCGGCCUUCUGGACCAAUACUGACGCUCAUGCACGAGAGCGUGGGGAGCAAACAGG